UACGUAGGGUGCAAGCGUUGUCCGGAAUUAUUGGGCGUAAAGAGCUCGUAGGCGGCUUGUCGCGUCGGCUGUGAAAACCUGAGGCUCAACCUCAGGCCUGCAGUCGAUACGGGCGGACUUGAGUACUGCAGGGGAGACUGGAAUUCCUGGUGUAGCGGUGGAAUGCGCAGAUAUCAGGAGGAACACCGGUGGCGAAGGCGGGUCUCUGGGCAGUAACUGACGCUGAGGAGCGAAAGCGUGGGGAGCGAACAGG
rnacentral:rRNA from 1 species